UACGUAGGGGGCAAGCGUUGUCCGGAUUUAUUGGGCGUAAAGAGCUCGUAGGCGGCUUGUCGCGUCGUCCGUGAAAACCUGCGGCUCAACUGCAGGCUGGCGGUCGAUACGGGCAGGCUGGGAUUCGGUAGGGGAGACUGGAAUUCCUGGUGUAGCGGUGAAAUGCGCAGAUAUCAGGAGGAACACCGAUGGCGAAGGCAGGUCUCUGGGCAUUAACUGACGCUGAGGAGCGAAAGCAUGGGGAGCGAACAGG
rnacentral:rRNA from 1 species